rnacentral:rRNA from 1 species
CCUACGGGUGACAGCAGUGAGGAAUAUUGGUCAAUGGGCGCGAGCCUGAACCAGCCAAGUCGCGUGAAGGAAGACGGUACUAUGUAUUGUAAACUUCUUUUGUCGGGGAGCAAACGCCGCGACGCGUCUCUGUCCGAGAGUACCCGAAGAAAAAGCAUCGGCUAACUCCGUGCCAGCAGCCGCGGUAAUACGGAGGAUGCGAGCGUUAUCCGGAUUUAUUGGGUUUAAAGGGUGCGCAGGCGGGAGAUCAAGUCAGCGGUAAAAUGGCGGGGCUCAACCUCGGCCGGCCGUUGAAACUGGUUGGCUAGAGUGGGCGAGAAGUAGGCGGAAUGCGUGGUGUAGCGGUGAAAUGCAUAGAUAUCACGAAGAACUCCGAUUGCGAAGGCAGCAUACC